rnacentral:rRNA from 1 species
GACGAACGCUGGCGGCGUGCUUAACACAUGCAAGUCGAACGGAAAGGCCCUGCUUUUGUGGGGUGCUCGAGUGGCGAACGGGUGAGUAACACGUGAGUAACCUGCCCUUGACUUUGGGAUAACUUCAGGAAACUGGGGCUAAUACCGGAUAGGAGCUCCUGCUGCAUGGUGGGGGUUGGAAAGUUUCGGCGGUUGGGGUUGGACUCGCGGCUUAUCAGCUUGUUGGUGGGGUAGUGGCUUACCAAGGCUUUGACGGGUAGCCGGCCUGAGAGGGUGACCGGCCACAUUGGGACUGAGAUACGGCCCAGACUCCUACGGGAGGCAGCAGUGGGGAAUAUUGCACAAUGGGCGGAAGCCUGAUGCAGCAACGCCGCGUGCGGGAUGACGGCCUUUGGGUUGUAAACCGCUUUCGCCUGUGACGAAGCGUGAGUGACGGUAAUGGGUAAAGAAGCACCGGCUAACUACGUG